CAAACAGGAGAAGGCAACAAAGUACACAACUUGUAAAAUGAUUAUUUACCGAAAAAACAUUUUGGUUGUCCAAAGGGUUGUUUGAUUCAUUUGUUGGUACUUUACCUUUGUCUCUAAUUUAUUUGAUGGUUUUACUUGCAUACUUGGUUUAAACGAGCAAGUUUGUACAGGCAUAUACGUAGUAUAUGAAGUAGUUUGCAAAUCUACACGAAUAUGAAUUAAGCCCAUCGUUUACACGAAACUUUGUAUGGGUAAAAAGUGUCUUGUCGAAAAUGAAGGCAAACCGAAUUAGCUGGGUAUUCAUAAAAGGUAUUAUUAUUGAUUGAAAGGCGUAAAAUAUUUUUGCAAGGAUAGUAAUAAAAUGGUUGUAUUAUUU